CACGAGGCCGUCGCGCGGGUUUUGCGUCUUCAAGGUACGCUUGGGCUUCUCCUCUCCAACUCGGGUGGGGAAGGGGUCUGCGCCCUGCAGAGCCACGUCUUCGCCGUGGGAACGGAGGCCCAGAGAGAGGACCAGGACCAGCUGCAUAAUUUGUGGGGACCAGUGCAGGAUGAAACUGCAGUGGCCCUUGUUCAUCGAUUACAAACUUCAAGAUGGUGACAACGGAGCGUUAAACCAAGUCCGGACCCUUCUGAGAGCGGAGUCCUUUGAGACUGCAUGGAUCACAUUUGUGUUGCAGUGCGUUGAAUGCUGGCCCUCAAAAAAGAAAGGCCGCGUGAGGACCUGACCAGGAAGGGAGUUCUCGCCAAGAACCUCAUCACGCUGGCAUCCUCAUCUUGGAUUUCUGGCCUCCAGAACCAUGAGAAAUAAAUGUUGGCUAAGCCAUUCAGUCGAUGGUCAGGCUUUGAAGAACUGUUUUCUUCCACUUAUCUUCUGGAACACUCACUCUUGGAAUUCACCCACCAUGUGAUGAGGAAGCUCAAGCUGCCAUGGAGAGGCCCAUAUAAAAAGGAACCAAGCCUCCAGUUCAAAGCUCUGGGUGAGCUCUCACCUGACAGCCAGCACCAACAGCCAUAGAAGGAAAGCAAGACACAGAAGGAGGAAGUGACUUGUCCGGGGUUAUGCACUGUCAUGGGUUGAGUGAUGCCCCCCACAAAAAGGAUAUGUCCGUGUUCUAAUUCUUAGAACUUGCAAAUGUUACCUUAUUUGGAAAAAAGUUUCUUUGCAAAUGUAAUUAAGGAUUUUGAGAUGAAGAGAUCAUCCCAGAUUAUCUGGCUGAGCCCUAAAUCCGAUGACCUGUGUCCUUAUAAGAGAUACACAGAGGUGAUUAGACAGAAGAGGUGAAGAGAGACACAGAAAGAGAAGUUCAUGUGAAGAUGGGGCAAAGAUGGGGGUGAUGUGGCCAAAAGCCAAGGAAUGCCAUCAGCCACCAGAACUUGGAAGAAACAAGGAAGGAUUCUUCUCUGAAGCCUCCAGAGGGAGUGGGGCCCUGUAGACAUCUUGAUUUCAGCCUUCUGGCCUCCAGAAUUGUGAAAGAAUAAAUUUCCAUUGUUUUUAGCCCACCUGGUUCGUGAUAAUUCCUUAUGGUACCCACAGGAAACUAAUAUAUACAACAAGGUUGAAGCUUGGACUUGAGAGAUCUUGAACUCCAUUCCUGGCCAGAGAAACCUGCCUCUCCACUGCCUCUGAAAUCUUUCAAGUGGCCAGCAUUCAUUCCUGUAUUAGCAGAGUGGACCGUGUGGGGCUCUGGUGACCUGGAGGGCCCAUGAUGAAUCUACAGGGAGCUACAGCCCUUUAGCUCCAUGUGGUACAAUGCUGUCCUGUCACCAUCUCUUGCCUCAUCUACUUCAGUGAUCUCACCUGCUUCUACUCUACCCCCUCCUCAAUCUGUUUUCCACAUAGUAUCUGGAGUAAUCUUAAAAAC